rnacentral:tRNA from 1 species
GGGAAUGUGGCUUAGUGGUAAAGUGCUUGCCUUGUAUGCAUGAAGCCCUGGGUUCGAUUUCUCAGUACCA